UNNCAUNCNAGUCUAGCGGCAGCGGGAAGUAGUUUACUACUUUGCCGGCGAGCGGCGGACGGGUGANUAAUGUCUGGGAAACUGCCUGAUGGAGGGGGAUANCUACUGGAAACGGUAUACUAAUACCGCAUGACCUCGCAAGAGCAAAGUGGGGGACCUUCGGGCCUCACGCCAUCGGAUGUGCCCAGAUGGGAUUAGCUAGUAGGUGGGGUAAUGGCUCACCUAGGCGACGAUCCCUAGCUGGUCUGAGAGGAUGACCAGCCACACUGGAACUGAGACACGGUCCAGACUCCUACGGGAGGCAGCAGUGGGGAAUAUUGCACAAUGGGCGCAAGCCUGAUGCAGCCAUGCCGCGUGUGUGAAGAAGGCCUUCGGGUUGUAAAGCACUUUCAGCGAGGAGGAAGGCAGUCGUGUUAAUAGCACGAUUGAUUGACGUUACUCGCAGAAGAAGCACCGGCUAACUCCGUGCCAGCAGCCGCGGUAAUACGGAGGGUGCAAGCGUUAAUCGGAAUUACUGGGCGUAAAGCGCACGCAGGCGGUUUGUUAAGUCAGAUGUGAAAUCCCCGCGCUUAACGUGGGAACUGCAUUUGAAACUGGCAAGCUANAGUCUUGUAGAGGGGGGUAGAAUUCCAGGUGUAGCGGUGAAAUGCGUAGAGAUCUGGAGGAAUACCGGUGGCGAAGGCGGCCCCCUGGACAAAGACUGACGCUCAGGUGCGAAAGCGUGGGGAGCAAACAGGAUUANAUACCCUGGUAGU
rnacentral:rRNA from 1 species